GACGUAGGGUGCGAGCGUUGUCCGGAAUUAUUGGGCGUAAAGAGCUUGUAGGCGGUUUGUCGCGUCUGCCGUGAAAAUCCGGGGCUCAACCCCGGACUUGCGGUGGGUACGGGCAGACUAGAGUGUGGUAGGGGAGACUGGAAUUCCUGGUGUAGCGGUGAAAUGCGCAGAUAUCAGGAGGAACACCGAUGGCGAAGGCAGGUCUCUGGGCCACUACUGACGCUGAGAAGCGAAAGCGUGGGGAGCGAACAGG
rnacentral:rRNA from 1 species